rnacentral:rRNA from 1 species
UUUAAGGUCUAAUCUGCCCUAUGAGGAGUUAAAUGGCCGCGGUAUUUUGACCGUGCAAAGGUAGCAUAAUAAUUAGUUUUUUAAUUGAAAGCUGGAAUGAAUGAUUGGACGAGAAAAUUUCUGUCUCAAUUUAAUUUAAUUAGAAUUUUAUUUUUAAGUAAAAAAGCUUAAAUUUCUUUAAAAGACGAGAAGACCCUAUAGAGUUUUAUAUGUUGAUUUAUAUUGGAAUUUUUAGUAUUUUAUUUUUUAUAUAAUUAUUAAUAUAUUUUAUUGGGGUGAUAGAAAAAUUUAAUUAACUUUUUUUAUAUUGUUACAUUUAUUUAUGGUUAAAUGAUCCAUUUUUUAUGAUUAUAAGUUUAAAUUACCUUAGGGAUAACAGCGUAAUUUUUUUUUAGAGUCUAUCGAAAAA